GAGGAACUCCCGGAACUGCGUCACCUGGGAGGUGUAGGAGAGCCCAUCAAUCCUCCAGUCAGCUGAUGAAGAAGAGGAUGAAGGAUGAGCCACGCCCACAUAUUCUUGCCACACUUUGUGUGAAGGAGGACCUUACCGGUCUGCCAGCUGCUGUAUGGUUCCACAUUUGAGGGGUUGGUCCACUCCUGAACUUUGAAGCCCAGCUCCUGACACAGAACCCGGACCGUGGCCGUCUUCCCGCUGCCGGACGGUCCAGUCAGAAUCAGAAUGCCGCCCUGCAAAAGAUCCCCAGAGGGUUGGACCUCACUCUCCAGCCUCACAGGAGCAGUUUCUUGAUGGAGGACCAGGUUCUCUCUGAAUCAAAUCUUCUUCUGUCCUGGUUCUUCCCAUUCUGACUUGUUCAUCCAACUUCUGGGACUAGAACUAACCUUGGACCUGUGAGCGUUCAUCCAGGUCUGCACUUCUUCCACCUUCUUCUUGUGGACGGCAAGUUCAGCCUGAACAAACACAGAGUGAGUCCUUAGAAAGGCCGGCUGGACCCCACAGAACUGGGUUCUGGUUUCACGUGAAACUCUGAAUGCUUCCUGUCAGAAACAGGAAGAGGAAAUGCACCAAACGCCUGGCCACCAGAGUGUGUCUUCAAACAAAAACUGCAAAAAGAACAGCUUCAUGACCACUACCCUGCAGACUGAGACGAUCAACUCCUCCCAUUAUGUUGAUAUGAAGUUCAGGAGUGCUCACCAGCGACUGCGGCGAAUACCUGUCCACCCACGACUCAUCCUGCGCCCCGCGACCGCACUCCAACCGUGGAGAGUUGAAGGUCGCCCCUUUCCGCUUCCUUGGCCUCUUCGUGUCAGCUUUGGACUGAAAUAACGGGUCAAAGCUUCCUCCUGACAGCUCAAUGAAGGACGGCUCCACCCAGCGCUUCACCUGUGAAGAACCACGGAUCAACUUCCUGCACAGAACAUCACGAAGGCUGGGGUUCACUGCCAAUUAAGGGCUUGAAUCUGUUUAGAUUAAUAAGUAAAAUUCAACUCUACUUGAUAAAAUAUCAUUUCAUGGACCACUUUUCAUCCAAUGUUUUACCAAAAAGGUAGAACUUUCAAUAACAAAAUAAGGAAUUAUUUCAUUAAAACUCACUAAAAGCAAUUUUUGGCCUGAAAAAUAUCAGAAAUUACCUUCAAAUAAAUCAUUCAUAUAGCUGAUCGAUCAAGUUUGCAAUUUUCAAUGUGGGGAUCGGGUCUGGAUUAAUUCAAAACUCAAACCAAAUCACCAGUGACGCUCCACUCCUCUGCAGCUUCCAGAGCUAACUGAUCUAAAGUUCUAAACCCGGUUCUGAGGAGCGGGACGAGGUUCUGAGGAGCGGGAGGAGGUUCUGAGGAGCGGGAGGAGGUUCUGAGGAGCAGGAGGAGGUCCUGGACUCCUCUGUGAUGAAGACAUCACUGUCCACUUCUCUGAGUGAGAAGAUGAUGGCUUUAAGAUCCUUCAGAGUCGGUGAUGGAGAUCUGAUGUUCUCCGCUGUCACCAUACUUGUCAUUUCAGUGGUUCAAAUUCAACACAUUUUAUUAAAAACGGAUCAAACCUUUUAGAAAUGAAGAGUACAAAAACUAUCAACUGUUGGAAGAAACCAUUCUGAUUCUGGACGGGUACAAGCUCUUCUGUAGUUAUUCAUUACGUCACACGGGUGAACUCACCGUGCUCGCAGCGGUUCUGGAUCCCUCAGGUAGAAGGUCCAUACUCCGUGCCGGUCCAAUCCGGACCGGACUCAGCUUUGGGAAAGCACAGAGCACCAAUGCGAAAGACGCACGCGCACACAACAGUGGUUUUGCUCAGAGAUUCUUCACCAAACCCGGACCGGUUCGGCCCGCUGGGUCUGCUUUGUCCUCCGGACCAGGUUCGCUUUGAUUUUUUGGACCACACUUGGGGGACAGGCCUCGUUCGGUUCUGUUUAAAACUCUGGUUCAGCCCCUUCGACCAGUACACAGGAAGCUGCCGUAAAUCGUCAGUUUCUAAUGUAAAAGUGACGCGAAGCGGCAGCUGGCGGCAAACACCGAGUCACGUGUCCACGACGAGCCCCCAGGUUCCGUUCCCUUUAUUACAAGCCACCACACUGAAAAAAGUACACUACUUAUGUUCUUGUUUACAACAGUUAAGAAUUUCAAAAGUUAAGAAUAAUUGUGACUUUUAUUUGGAUUAAUACUAUGUUCUUGUAUUGUAUUUUAAUAAUGCUACUUUUUGUACUGUAUUUUUCUAAAGUUCAAUAAAUAAUAAUAAACAAAAUUCCAACACAAA